AGCCCUGAGGUGAAUUUUUCAUAUAAGAUUGCAAAUCUUAAGGAGUAGGUUAACGCCUACCGGGGCUU
rnacentral:tRNA from 1 species